rnacentral:lncRNA from 1 species
UUCCGGGUGCAAGGCGGCCGCUGGAGCAGAGCAAGCUGCCGCUCUCGCAAGCUUUGGAGGCAGAGCUGCAAUGUUCCGGAUCGAAGGUCUCGCGCCGAAGUUGGACCCGGAGGAGAUGAAACGGAAGAUGCGUGAGGAUGUGGUCUCCUCCAUUCGGAACUUCCUCAUCUACGUGGCCCUGCUGCGAGUCACUCCAUAUAUCUUAAAGAAGCUGGAUAGCAUAUGAGGCUUGGGAGUCCCAUGGAUGCAUGGCAUGAAGAACCACCUGGUGACAGCUUCUCCUCCUGUCUGCAGAUGAAAUGGCCCAGAAAGGUGUAAGACUGAUUAAACGGACAUUAAAAAAACGAAAACAAACAAACAAAAAAAAAACUACUUGUUAAGAACAAGUUGGGCUUUGAGAACUGACCUCCAUAGAUGAAAUAUAAAACUACUUGGGAAGUGCAAAUAUCCACCUCUGUGAGUGUUGCCGGAAUUGUAGAUAAUGCCAGACUCUGAGGGGCCUAUGUCUCAGCAGUCAUUUCUGUUUACGACUUCUGUUCAAAGUGUUACUUGGGAAGAGUCUGUUUGGAAGUCAGCAUACACCCACAAUGACUUUAAGCACAGUCUAUAUUUUUAAUAAACAUUCUGAUGAAGGAA